rnacentral:sRNA from 1 species
AUUGCGCAAUUCCGGCAGAAGACCGUCACGCGAUCUUCUCGGAACUGCUCAAGGCGUCGAACCGU